CUGUCUGAUAAUAGGAUUCGUUCCCCUGCCCCACUCCUCCCUGUGUAUCCUUAUCUUCAGAGAUGUAAUAUGUACAGGAUAUGAAAACUUAAAAGGCACCUUUAUAAAUUCAUCACUUAGCAGACUUUGUACUGUUAAAAGAUUGAACUCAUGUUACUGAAUGUUGUUACAUGCCUCCCUUAACCUGUGGGGAGCUUUUCAAGAAAAAACAAAGACAGCAAAGCAUACUUGUUAACAUGUCCAUUGCUGGAACCCCUUCCCCACAUCCCAUCAUGCUUCUUUUCACAGCAGCUUUGGAAACUUGCAUGAAAUUUGCUGGUCUAGAUUACUUAAGAAGGAUGGGGAGGCCAGAGGGUUUAGAUAGGGGAUUGUGACAAUUGCCAUUCAUCAUAAUUACAGCUCACAAUCAGAGUAAUGGCAAAGGGGUGAAUGUUAAGUAGUGAUUGGGGGCUAUGAAGACUACUAUGGCUGUGUGUAUUUGAAAAAGCUUGGGGGUUGGAAAUCUAUCUCCCAGACAGAGUACGGUUAAGGAAUGAGUUUGGUUAUUAAGUGUGGUGCUGUUUCUUCCACUAAUGGCAACUCACAGUUGCAGUAAUGUAGGGGGAGGAUUAGCAGGUGGGGGAAAUAAAGUCAAUAAGCAUUGCAGCAGUAGAGCGGAGUGUGACGUCCUUCCCCAGCACCACCUGUGAAGCUCUCACUUUGUGGCUACCAGCAGACAGGAACGUCAGGUUUAUUCUUACCCUUUACAGCACUAGCACAGAUCUCAACAGAUCCCCCUGCUAGGCCACACUACCCAACACUCUGUAACCCUUUUAGCCAAUAGACUGUGCCUAGUCUCUGCCUGGCUAUUCCGAUACCUUGUGUCAAUGGGUAUAGGUAAUUUGUAACCCCCCCUGCAGCCCCUUGACUCUGAAGCAUACAGCCCUGGGUUUCUCUGUGGGACUGGAUACACUUUCCUCCGAUCCGCCGCUGCCACCAUUCGAUACAAACUGUUCAGCCUUGGUUACUCUGCCAUCCCCCUGGAUUGUGUAUCCCAGCUGAAGAAUCAGGCUUUUUGUAAACCAAGAAAUAUUUAUUGAACACUAAAAAUAACAAGAUUACUUAAGUACUUUGUUGACAAGCUUAUGGUUUCAUAUAUGUUCUGACAUGUACUUUACUUCUCAUUAAUUGCCUCAGAACUCUGACUCACUCUCAACAACACCAACAACCUCCAAACACCACCAAAACCUCUCUUUCACCUCUCUAAACCUCCAACAUCCACACAGAUUCAACUGUCAUUCUUCCAUUUAUACUCCCAGCCAUUCAAACGCUCAGCCAAUCAUUCAGCAUUCUACUGCUCAUGUACUCCCCCUCCUCUUUCACUCCACUUACCAUAUAUCUUCUAUAUAAUCAGCACUUACCAUAUUUACAAUAUAAGCAGGAACAUCACACGGAGCAGUGGAAGGAAAAAGUUAAGAAACUCUGGGCAUUUUCCUGGUGGGGAAGGUGGGGAAUCAGCUGUUGACAAGAGUAGGUGAAGAAAUGUUGACCAGUGAGAAGGGGCAUAGUGAUCUGGUGAGGGAAUGUCAGGAGCAGGACACCCCAGAGUCUUUCAGGAUCUCAGGCUGAGAGUAUGGAAAAGACAGGAAGUAGGUGAGGAGGAGGGUGUAGUCAUCCAGGGUCUUGGGAGAGUGUCUUAGACCCUUUACUUUUUCAGGAGCAGGCUCACAGCAAGGUCCCUAUGUCUCCACUGUCCUACCAACCAAUCAGCAUGAUAUUAGCCACUGAGAAGAGUUUUCUGGCUGCCUUCUCUUUUCCUGCUGAUCGGAGCCAAUCAGAGUGAAAGGAGGUGAGUCAGCCACUGAGAAGACUCUUCUUGGUAGCUAAUGUUCUCCCUUUUCAUGUUGACAUGCUUAUAUGGAUAUCUGUUGUUGUGGGGGAAGGCAUUAACAAGGAUUUCAUUCUCAACCCAGCAGCAAAAGAAAACAGAGGGGGGGUAGGGGUGUGUGGCUGUGGCUAUCAUGAAGGGAGCCUGCACUUUUGAAUUUGUUACUACAAAACUGGUGGGGAGCAGGGAAAAUAUGAUGAUGAUGAAACCUAGGUUUGUUUGAUUGCCUGUGCGGUGGCUUGUGGUUAAGCAUGGUUUGUUUAACAAACUAUGCUUUAAUAAGCCACGGUUGAACUUUGGCUUAGCGUGAUGUGUUGACAAGAUCAUCAUAUGGUCUGGCACAAAGUAGGUAAUAGUCAAAAGCACUCUUGGCUAGAUUUAGAUUUGUGAUAUGACUUGAAGGAAAAGGUGGGCUUUAAGGUGGGGUUGAUGUCUAUCAGUUUCCAUAGCUGAAAUUAUACAACCCACAUACAACAUCCAAUGGCCAGUGAUUUCCCUAGCCCAGGAGUGGCUAACCCGUGGCCCUCCUGAUGUUGUUGGACUCCAGUGCCCAUCAACUUGAACCAGCAUGGCCAAUGGUCAGGGAAGAUGGAAGUUAGAGUCCAACAACAUCUGGAAGGUCACAGGUUAAGCCACCCCUGCCCUAGCCCAACAUAGCAGGAAAUACCGCUCUGUCUUGAGGGCAAUGAGAACUCACAACCAUCAAGGAUUCAGUCAAUACUGAAUUAAUUAGCCACUCAGAAUUCUGUGUUCAGUUUUCCAUGAUUUGUGUAUCCAAAUAGAUAGACUUAAGGAUUUUGACUAAUUCAUCAACACUUUGCACCCCACUAUUAAGUUUGAAACGACUUAUGAUGCCAAGUGUAUCCAUUUUCUAGAUGUGGAGAUCAAACACAAUCAUGGGAUUUUGGUUACAAACAUUUAUAGGAAACCAAUGGAUGUUAAUUCAUAUCUCCAGGAUGACAGCUACCAUCCCAUGUACCUCAAACAUAAUCUCCCAUAUUCUCAGAUGCUGAGAUUAAGGAGGGAUUGUAGCCAUGUGAGAGAUUUUCUCACCCAAGCAAAUGUGUUGAUGAGACAACUACAACACAAAGGGUAUCCUCAUAGGAUCCUAAAACAGGCAUUAUAUCAGCCGUAGAACCUUACUUACAUUCAAGGAUAGGUCUAUUCCGGAGCACAGGAUGAUUGUACCGGUAACAUACGACACAUAUGCAGCAUCCAUAAAAGAGGUUAUUAAUAAACACUGACACUUCCUGGAGGAUAUUCCACACUGUAAGAACUAUCCCAUGUUUGCAUACAAAUGUGCACCUAAUCUAAGGGAUGUGUUAAUGCAUUCGAGACUGAGAACACCUAGGUUGCUUAAUAGCACUAUAGACAACAGCAACAAUUCCAUAGGUCAAUUCCAUCUGGCAAGUGUAGUGUUUGUUCUAACUGCAACAAAAUCAAAUCAUUCAUCAGCCCCAGAGGGUAUAUCAUAUCAAAGAUUUAUUUAUGUGCAAUACUAAAGGAUUUAUAUAUAUUGUGCAUUGUCCAUGCCCUCUUUUGUAUGUGGGUAUGACUACAAGGAAAAUUAAAAUAUGCAUUUGUGAACAUAAAAGUUGUAUUAGAACUAAGAAGGUAUGCGCCCCAUUAAACGCUUUUUGGAAUUCUAACACGAUGAGAAAUUGCUUCAAUUUUGGUGUGUAGAAAAAAUUAAAACUUCAGGGAAAUAUUUUGGAUAAGAUACCUUAAUGCCAAAUGGUUUAAAUGAAGAGUUAGAUUGGAAGCCUAUUAUUUAGAAUUAUAUUUAUCGUGUUCAUAGAUUCAUUUAUUGGUUACUCCUAGCCAUAGUCUAUGAGUUGGUUUGGCUCUGGUAAAAUGGUUCCUGAUUGUAUAUAUAUGCUAAGAUCUGUAAAUUGAAAUCACUUUACUAAAUACGUUAAGUACUGACAGAAUGAAGCCCUUAUACAGGGAUGUUAGUAUUGCAUCACCCUUACACUGGAUGCUGAGUCAUUAUAGAAAAAAUAAAAAUAAAAAUCAGCUUAUUUUUGAGUGCGGACUUAGAAUAGGAAGCAUAUGCAUGCAGAAUAGGAGCAAAAACAAGAGAUAGAAGCAGAACAUUUGGGCUGCACAUCCAUCCUGCUGAAAAAUCCAGCAUUCUUCUAAAGAGCCGUAGUCUGCAAAGGUCACAAGUCAACUAAUAAAGCAUCAGGGUCUGAAGUUUGCUGUAGCUGCAGUAGCUGUUUGGGGAGUUAUGCUGAACAUGCUGAGGACCAUGGGACAUGUUUCAUGAGGUUGUUUUCUGCUGCAUAUUUAAAGAUUUCUUGUUCUACUGUCUAGAAAGCAUCUGUACUAAUCUGAGGGCAAGGAAACUUCUAGUCUUAUCUGUUCAUUUUUAUGAGAAAGCUACACUUUAAUAAAGACUACAGUAUUGUAUGUUUUUAAGUUUGAUACCACAAAGGGGUCAUGGAUGGAAUGAACUACUCGGGGGGGGGGGCAAUGCCUAUAUUUUGGGGGCUUCAUCCAUAAUAAGUAGAAAAUGGACAGAAGUAUAUAUCCAAGAAGAGACCAAUCAAUUCCAGCUGAAUUUCAAAAUUAUGUGUUUGUGAAAAAAGGGCUUCUGCAGGUAACAAAGAGAGAUACUUUUUUAAAAAAUGAGCUAUCAUGGGUAAGUUGUUUUGUUUCUGUUUGUUGUAAUCCACACUAUGACACUGAAACAACUGUCUGUGAUAAUAAAGGUCAGUAAUGACCAGUACCUUUUUUGUGAUGGUACUUAGCAGCACAGUCACCUCUUUUUUUGUGGCCCUUGGCAGCCAUUUUCUGCUGUCACCCAUAGCUGUUUUAUGAUGAUGUGUGUAUUGGCACCUCAUUUUUUUUACCUAAAAAGGACUGCUAAUGACUGUUAGACCUUUGUGACUAUUUUCCAACUUGUACCUCUUCUGAACUGCACAAUAAUUAAACUAAACAAUGUUACUAGA